UACCUCAGGGAGUCUCGUCAUCUC
rnacentral:siRNA from 1 species